rnacentral:rRNA from 1 species
UACGUAGGGAACGAGCGUUGUCCGGAAUUACUGGGUGUAAAGGGAGCGUAGGCGGGACGGCAAGUCAGAUGUGAAAACUAUGGGCUCAACCCAUAGACUGCAUUUGAAACUGUUGUUCUUGAGUGAGGUAGAGGUAAGCGGAAUUCCUGGUGUAGCGGUGAAAUGCGUAGAGAUCAGGAGGAACAUCGGUGGCGAAGGCGGCUUACUGGGCCUUUACUGACGCUGAGGCUCGAAAGCGUGGGGAGCAAACAGG